GAAGAAGAAGAAGAAGAAGAAGAAGAAUCGUCACCACAUAAAUUGGGUUAUGGGCUUCGUAAUUUUUUAGGCCUACUUAUAUGCUGAAGUGUGAUAAUAGGUUUUUAAGAUCAAUUAAUCCUAAAGCACUAUCAUGUCGUUGUAGUACUGAAGGUGUAUCUCCAAAUGGGUGUGAUGCUAACAAUCAAGAUGUGAUCAGAAGUCACUAAGUCAAGCCAAGCAAUAACAGGUUGUGGUGUGUUCUAGCAGUUCUAAGUGAACAUGCAGAAAACAGAAAUUCAAGCAGAAACAGUAAAACACUCGACCAACACAGCUCUUUGCAGAGCACUGGGUGAGGUCGAGUGACAGGUCGAGUAACAGACAAAAAAUAAAACAUAGAUACUCGACUGCACAGUCUCUUGCCAGACAACUGGGUGGUCGAGUAUGAGGUCGAGUAACAAGAAAGAACUGCAGAAACUAAGCGACAGAUAACAAGAUGCAGUAAACAACAGUAGAGUAAACAAAGAAUUCAAUCAGAUAAAGAAUUCCCGAGGAUGGGGUAAUUGAGUAGUUUCGUUUCCUCAGUUUAUAGGUGAUUGGCAUGCUCAAUAAAUUAACCCUAGACAAUAAGUUCAUUAACCAAAUCUAAGUGCCACCGCAACAGAGACCCUCAAGUUAACCUAGUCCCAGACUCAAUCACCAUUGACGAGAGCUAACCUAACAUGCAUUAUGAAUCAACAAGUUAAAGCCAAAACGCUCCCUGCAACCAAUACCUUGGUACAGGGUCACGAUUCUCUGGAAUUAGUGGUUCAGAUAUUUCAUCGAACACCUUUUGGGCGCAAAAAUGUCUGGGCUCAAAUUCCAGUUGAUAAGAAAGCAAUAGGCAUUAAGAACAACUAAUCCAGAAGGGAUCUAUUAAUCAAUACUCAAUCACCUAGCAUACUGAGAAUUCUACACUACUCUAACCCAUCCUUAAAAACCUAUUCACUACUCAAACAUCAUAACAGAAAGCAUAAACGUUGAACAUGUUGAAAACAUGAUAACAAUAGUGUAAAAGCAGGAUGAUAACAGAAUGAACAACAGUAAACGAAAUCAAGAACAAAAGCUGAAUACUGAAUACUGAAUAGAUAAAGAGAAAUCCGGAUUACAAAAGGUCUAGAACACAAAUUCUGCGGAAUAAAACUAGAUAAAAACUUGUUUGCGAAAAUGUGAAGUACAUGCUACUUAUAGCCAAAUAUUCUGAAAGCCUAAUACUUAAAACGACGAAGUAUUGGGACGGAUUAAGAACUGUACUCGACCCAGGUGGUCGAGUGGGAGGUCGAGUGAAUAGCUGGAGUCUUCUUUUCUUCCUUGUGUUCGAGUGUCUGGUUGAGUGCGGAAUGAAGAAGACUCUGAAGCUUGCCAUCGAGGGUGUAGUCGAGUGGUGGUGAAGGUGAUAUUGACUUCCAGGUAGAGUGAUGUAGUCGAGUGAUGAUCAGGUAAUGGUGGUGAAGGCACUCGACCUCGGGGUCGAGUGAUGUGAUCGAGUGAUGGUCAGGUGAUGGAGAUGAAGACGCUCGACCUCGAGGUCGAGUGGUGAGGUGAAGUGGUGAUGUCUUCUACUCGACCUGGGGGUCGAGUGAUCUCUUGAGAUCUCGAAGCUCCUACUCGACCUCUGGGUCGAGUGGUUUGUCAUGAUCAGGUCCGCUUCUUCCAGUUAGCUCGUCAAUAGGUCCAAAUCACUUGAAAUCAACACAAAAAUGCAACAUACAUGUAAACCUAUCCUAAACAUGUAAAGUGAUGACAAAUGAUGAGAAAUGGUAUAAAACAGUGAUGAUAUGAUGCUAAAGUGAUGACAAAUGGAUGCUCAAAACAUGCAAAAUACACACUUAUCAAAGUGUGGUGUGUUCAGUUCAAUUUCCCCAAACACUAACAUGUCGAUGCAGCUAUAAGGGGUGUCAAUCCAGUCCACUGUUAUUGCUAGCAAUCAAGUCAGGCUCGAAUGAUGAAUGCCUCGCAGGGACAUGCGGAAUCUCCUGCUCUCUAGGCUCAGGCCUGCGCUGACUUGGCUCGGGCGCGUCAUAUCUCCUCGAAGGCAUGUCUUGAGGGAGUUGUCCCUGCGGAAUUGCUGUAGUGGAAGAGGAGCAGCUGAUUUUAUCCUUGAGAAACUUGAUAGCCCUGAGGCACUUGGCGAGUAACUUAUCCUGUUUCUUGCACCACUUCUGCAGCUUGCUGUUGUUCCUGUGAGCUUCGCUCAAACUCUUGCUUUCCCUCGCUGGAGGUAUAUGCUCACUGAAAUGAUACAUGCUCGUGUCAAAUUCCGCCUCAUCUAUAUCAUCCGUCUCAUCAACAUCUUCUGUUGUAGCUCCUUCGGUGUGACUGAUCUCCUCAGUUGGCGGACUGCCCUCGAAAUAAAGAUCUUCAAGCGUAGGCUUGAAGUCAAUGUUUCUGCCCUCGAGAAUCCUAGUAGCGUCAAUGCAGGGGAGAAGAAUGUUGGCGAUUCUAAUCGAUGAAUGCUCGAACCUGUAGCGGUGAAAGUCGCCAGCCAUGUCAAACUCCAAGAACUCACAUCUGCGCAAAUGAUCCAAGUCCAUCAUCCUCGGUGCUAACCCUGGUUCCUUGAGCGGUACUCCACAAGCUUCCAGAAUUGGCGUCACAAUGCCACCCACGCAUAGUGCUCCUCUCACCUUCUUCUUUCCGUUCGUCAACGCCCACUUCCUGUAUCCACACAGGUGGAUCGAUAGAGGCAUUACUGGUGGUGCGUUAUUGAGAUCGCCUCUCAAGACAUUCUUUCCCUUCGUCCGGCGGAGCAUCCCUGUAAGCGCAGAAUCUAUCAUCUCCAUGUCCGUGUUAGACACGGUGCCUGUAGACUCUCUAGAGUAAAAUACGUUGGCAACCGAGCGCUGAAAGUAGCGGGUUACAGGACUCCGGAUUUGGUUGCUCUUGGACCGCGCCGAGUUUAGCGGUAGAUUGUUCCCAAUGGUGGCCCACAAAUCCUUAAGCUCCUCUCUGUCAAACCUGGGUUUGGUUCCCUUUCCACUAGGGAAACCAAACAGUUCUUCCAACUUCUUGAUCGAAAGCUGAUACCACUGCUCAUCCACUGAGAACGUCAAGAAGCCUAAACCCAUGGUAUCCAGCUCAAAGUCUGUGAGUCCCUCAUACAUCUCCACUUGCAGCGUGGGAAGAAACUCGAUUGUCUCCUCCUUAUAAGCAGCGUAAGGGUAAGACAUGAGUGUCUCUAGAUGACACUUCUCGAACAGAUGUUGCACGUCCUCCAGUAACCCCAGCUGGGCUAAAGUCUCAUAGCACAGAUACCUCGUUCCCCAAAAGUCAUUCAUCUCAAAGAAUCUGAUAUACUCCUCCACUGUAACCUCGUCGGGUUUGUUCAGCAGCUUCGUCUCCUUACGCCAUGACUCUGGCUCAUACUCAGUUUCGAUGUCCUCAUCAAUCAGCUCAUAUCUACUCGACAUCGCCCUCUUUCCUCUGGCGAUUUCAGCUCUUCUCUGAUUACGUCGGGCUGUGGAGAGUUCUAAUUCAUCCCUGAAGCUCUGGUAAACAUGUUGCUCUCUCGGUCUAACGGACUAGGACUCAGCUUCAUCCACAUUGUAAUCAGGGUCCAUAAAAGAUUCUCCACUGUAGUUACUCAUGAUGAAACCUGAAAACAGACAAAACUCAAAGAUAAACGUUAAUACGUUAGUAACAGCAAACCAAAAACACAAACCAAUCAAGUGAACCGGUCGAGUGAUGUAAUCGACUAAACCGUCGGUUUUGAAUUUUUUUUUUCUUUUCUUUCGGUUGAUCGAGUGAUUUUGUUUGGUCGAGUGAAGCUAGUUUCGUGGUUAGAGUGAGGCGGUGGUCGAGUGGCGUCGCUUUGGCGGUGAAUCGAGUGAUGAAUGGACUUGAGAGAUGAGAGAACAAUGGCACCUUGGUCGAGUGGUUAUGAGCUAGAAGUGGUGAAGGCGGCUUGGUGAUAGAGGUCGAGUGAAUGAAAUGGCAAGGUCGAGUGAUUAGGCAAGGUCGAGUAGCGAGGCUUGGACGGACAAAGUGAUGAGGAAUCGAGUGUUUGGUGAUGAGAGACGAGUUUGAAAGAGAUCGAGUGAAGCUUGUGAGAAUGGCAAUGGUGAUGAGAACUCGAGUGAUGUUGAGCUCGCGGAGAAGAGAAGACGGUGAUGACGUUGGUCGAGUGAUGUCGCAGAUGGAGAGAUGAUGAGCUUGAAGGUGAUAAGUGUUCAGCAGUGAAGAGACCGAGUGAUGGUUAAGGUCGAGUGUUUUAUGGGAGAGAAGUGGGAGAAAUGAAGUCGAGUUUAUGAGGUAUGGGGUCGAGUGGUUGAGAGAAGAGAGAUGAGAGUUUGGUUUGUUGGUGGUGAUGAAUGAGGAGGGGUCGAGUGUAUAAUAGGUGAGGUGGAGAUAACGAGGUCGAGUAAGUGAUAGGUGGGGGAUGGUGAUGUCGUCGAGGUCGAGUGGUGUGUGGAGAUGGGAUAAGGUGAGGGGUCGAGUGGUUGUGAGAAGAAGGAGUUGGAUUUCUUGUCUGUUGGUUAGGAGCGUGGGAGACAUAGGGUGCAACAGUGGGUCCCUCGCUUGUCUCUUUCUUCUGAAUCAUUACUCUAUCUUCACUAGGAAAAUUUCAGUAAAUCCUAAAAUCUGCUUUAAACUUGAUGAACUCUCUGUAAGACUCUGUAGCUCCCGUUGGUCGAGUAAAAUGAUGAUUUAAAAG
rnacentral:sRNA from 1 species